UUCGGGGUACUCGAGUGGCGAACGGGUGAGUAACACGUGGGUGAUCUGCCCUGCACUUUGGSAUAAGCCUGGGAAACUGGGUCAAUAAUACCGAAUAUGACCGCGCACUUCCUGGUGUGUGGUGGAUNAAGCUUUUGCGGUGUGGGAUGGGCCCGCGGCCUAUCAGCUUGUUGGUGGGGUAAUGGCCUACCAAGGCGACGACGGGUAGCCGGCCUGAGAGGGUGACCGGCCACACUGGGACUGAGAUACGGCCCAGACUCCUACGGGAGGCAGCAGUGGGGAAUAUUGCACAAUGGGCGCAAGCCUGAUGCAGCGACGCCGCGUGAGGGAUGACGGCCUUCGGGUUGUAAACCUCUUUCAAUAGGGACGAAGCGCAAGUGACGGUACCUAUAGAAGAAGGACCGGCCAACUACGUGCCAGCAGCCGCGGUAAUACGUAGGGUCCGAGCGUUGUCCGGAAUUACUGGGCGUAAAGAGCUCGUAGGUGGUUUGUCGCGUUGUUCGUGAAAACUCACAGCUUAACUGUGGGCGUGCGGGCGAUACGGGCAGACUAGAGUACUGCAGGGGAGACUGGAAUUCCUGGUGUAGCGGUGGAAUGCGCAGAUAUCAGGAGGAACACCGGUGGCGAAGGCGGGUCUCUGGGCAGUAACUGACGCUGAGGAGCGAAAGCGUGGGGAGCGAACAGGAUUAGAUACCCUGGUAGUCCACGCCGUAAACGGUGGGUACUAGGUGUGGGUUUCCUUCCUUGGGAUCCGUGCCGUAGCUAACGCAUUAAGUACCCCGCCUGGGGAGUACGGCCGCAAGGCUAAAACUCAAAGAAAUUGACGGGGGCCCGCACAAGCGGCGGAGCAUGUGGAUUAAUUCGAUGCAACGCGAAGAACCUUACCUGGGUUUGACAUGCACAGGACGCCAGUAGAGAUAUUGGUUCCCUUGUGGCCUGUGUGCAGGUGGUGCAUGGCUGUCGUCAGCUCGUGUCGUGAGAUGUUGGGUUAAGUCCCGCAACGAGCGCAACCCUUAUCUUAUGUUGCCAGCGCGUAAUGGCGGGGACUCGUGAGAGACUGCCGGGGUCAACUCGGAGGAAGGUGGGGAUGACGUCAAGUCAUCAUGCCCCUUAUGUCCAGGGCUUCACACAUGCUACAAUGGCCGGUACAAAGGGCUGCGAUGCCGUGAGGUGGAGCGAAUCCUUUCAAAGCCGGUCUCAGUUCGGAUCGGGGUCUGCAACUCGACCCCGUGAAGUCGGAGUCGCUAGUAAUCGCAGAUCAGCAACGCUGCGGUGAAUACGUUCCCGGGCCUUGUACACACCGCCCGUCACGUCAUGAAAGUCGGUAACACC
rnacentral:rRNA from 1 species